rnacentral:rRNA from 1 species
AUGAACGCUGGCGGCGUGCCUAAUACAUGCAAGUCGAGCGAACAGACGAGGAGCUUGCUCCUCUGACGUUAGCGGCGGACGGGUGAGUAACACGUGGAUAACCUACCUAUAAGACUGGGAUAACUUCGGGAAACCGGAGCUAAUACCGGAUAAUAUAUUGAACCGCAUGGUUCAAUAGUGAAAGACGGUUUUGCUGUCACUUAUAGAUGGAUCCGCGCCGCAUUAGCUAGUUGGUAAGGUAACGGCUUACCAAGGCAACGAUGCGUAGCCGACCUGAGAGGGUGACCGGCCACACUGGACCUGAGACACGGUCCAGACUCCUACGGAGGCAGCAGUAGGGAAUCUUCCGCAAUGGGCGAAAGCCUGACGGAGCAACGCCGCGUGAGUGAUGAAGGUCUUCGGAUCGUAAAACUCUGUUAUUAGGGAAGAACAAAUGUGUAAGUAACUAUGCACGUCUUGACGGUACCUAAUCAGAAAGCCACGGCUAACUACGUG